AUUGUUAUGUCACGUGUCUCUUCUAGAAAAUCGUAAUUAUUUUGGUUAUAUUUUUUUUUUUAUACACGUGAAUGAUCUUUUGAUAAGUUUUAGAGAGUUUUUAGUAUUCAUCUCGACAAUAUUUACAAAGGUUGGAUCGUAGGGUUGGCUGAUUUUAUAGCUAUAAACUAAUUGGAUUCUCAGUUUUUUCUUCACACUUUUUGCCUCUUAAAUUUCCACCAUAAACUUUGAUAAUUUUUUAAAUUACAACAUGUACUUUCGGAUUCAUCCUUAAACAUACAUUUCCAAUUGAACCGGUCAUUAAACCGGGAUUAACCACAAAUCCGCGUUUACUGUACCACGAUUGCGAUUUACCCGAUUAAUCACCUAUAUCCGUUAAGAAAAGGGUUGGUUGAUUUUAUAGCCAUAAACUAAUUGCAUUCUCUGCUUUUCCCCCUAUACUUUUUGCUCCUGAAAUUUCCACCAUAAACUUCGAUAAUUCUUAAAAUUGCAACAUGUACUUUCAGAUUCAUCCUUAAAAAUAUGUUUCCAAUUGAACCGGUCAUUAAACGGAUAUUAACCACAAAUCCGCGUUUACUGUACCGCGAUUGUGAUUUACCCAACUAAUCACCCACACCGUUAAGAAAACAAUGUUGUUUUGUAAGCCUACAAUGGAGCUUCAAGAAACACCACAUGGAGCCGAUACAAUCACACUCACACAAAGAAGCAAUCUAUGUGAUCAAUGAGAGUAGUUCUAGUUCUUUAUUAAUUUAGAUUGUCAUUGAAACAAUCUUCAACCUCUUUUGUCUAUUUUGGAUGACGUAUUUUCGGAAGUUGAUUCUCUUUAAGAUGAUAUUAUUUAGGUUGACUGAUUGAUUUGAAGUUUAAUCUAUCCUUAUGAUUAGGAGUUUUAUCUAGUUCGAUUUGUCAUUUUCCUUACCAAUUAACACAACACAUAAGGAUACAUAACAUAACAAAACGAUGCGUUUUCUUAACGGGUGUGGGAUUAGUCGGGUAAAUCACAAUAGCGGUAUAAUAAACGCGGAUUUGUGGUUAAUCUCGGUUUAAUGACCGGUUCAAUUGGAAACAUAUUUUUAAGGAUGAACUUACAAUAUUAAGAAUUAUCAAAGUUUAUGGUAGAAAUUUAAGAGACAAAAAAAGUGGGAGGAAAAGCUGAAAAUACAAUUAGUUUAUGGCUAUAAAAUCAGCCAAGAACUU
rnacentral:sRNA from 1 species